UACGUAGGUGGCAAGCGUUGUCCGGAUUUAUUGGGUUUAAAGGGUGCGUAGGCGGCCCUGUAAGUCAGUGCUGAAAUAUCCCGGCUUAACCGGGAGGGUGGCAUUGAUACUGCGGGGCUAGAGUACAGAUGAGGUAGGCGGAAUUGACGGUGUAGCGGUGAAAUGCAUAGAUAUUGUCAAGAACACCGAUUGCGUAGGCAGCUUACUAAGCUAUAACUGACGCUGAGGCACGAAAGUGUGGGGAUCAAACAGG
rnacentral:rRNA from 1 species